GAGUUUGAUCCUGGCUCAGAUUGAACGCUGGCGGCAGGCCUAACACAUGCAAGUCGAGCGGAUGACGGGAGCUUGCUCCUUGAUUCAGCGGCGGACGGGUGAGUAAUGCCUAGGAAUCUGCCUGGUAGUGGGGGACAACGUUUCGAAAGGAACGCUAAUACCGCAUACGUCCUACGGGAGAAAGCAGGGGACCUUCGGGCCUUGCGCUAUCAGAUGAGCCUAGGUCGGAUUAGCUAGUUGGUGGGGUAAUGGCUCACCAAGGCGACGAUCCGUAACUGGUCUGAGAGGAUGAUCAGUCACACUGGAACUGAGACACGGUCCAGACUCCUACGGGAGGCAGCAGUGGGGAAUAUUGGACAAUGGGCGAAAGCCUGAUCCAGCCAUGCCGCGUGUGUGAAGAAGGUCUUCGGAUUGUAAAGCACUUUAAGUUGGGAGGAAGGGCAGUAAGUUAAUACCUUGCUGUUUUGACGUUACCGACAGAAUAAGCACCGGCUAACGUCUGUGCCAGCAGCCG
rnacentral:rRNA from 1 species